rnacentral:rRNA from 1 species
GACGAACGCUGGCGGCGUGCUUAACACAUGCAAGUCGAACGAAGUGGCGAACGGGUGAGUAACGCGUAAUCAACCUGCCCUUCAGCGGGGGACAACAGUUGGAAACGACUGCUAAUACCGCAUACUGAAGGAGGGGAUUGCGUCUGAUUAGCUAGUUGGAGGGGUAACGGCCCACCAAGGCGAUGAUCAGUAGCCGGUCGGAGAGGAUGAACGGCCAAAUUGGGACUGAGACACGGCCCAGACUCCUACGGGAGGCAGCAGUGGGGAAUCUUCCGCAAUGGACGAAAGUCUGACGGAGCAACGCCGCGUGAGUGAAGACGGUCUUCGGAUUGUAAACUUCUUUAGACAGGGACGCGGUACCUGUAGAAUAAGCCACGGCUAACUACGUGCCAGCAGCCGCGGUAAUAC